GUGAGUCAUCGAAUCUUUGAACGCACCUUGCGCUCGUUGGUAUUCCGACGAGCAUGCCUGUUUGAGUGUCAUUAAAUUCUCAACCUCACCAGUUUUGUUAUGAGACUGUGUAAGGCUUGGAUGUGGGGGUUUCUGCAGGCUGCCUCAGCGCGGUCUGCUCCCCUGAAAUGCAUUAGCGAGUUCAAACUGAGCUCCGUCUAUUGGUGUGAUAAUUAUCUACGCCGUGGAUGGUUCUUAGACUUGCUUCUAACCGUCCGCAAGGACAACUCUUGACAAUUUGACCUCAAAUCAGGUAGGACUACCCGCUGAACUUAAGCAUAUCAAUAAGCGGAGGA
rnacentral:misc_RNA from 1 species